rnacentral:rRNA from 1 species
UACGUAGGGGGCAAGCGUUGUCCGGAUUUAUUGGGCGUAAAGAGCGUGUAGGCGCCAGACAGGUCCGUUGUGAAAACUCGAGGCUCAACCUCGAGACGUCGACGGAAACCGUCUGGCUAGAGUCCGGAAGAGGCGAGUGGAAUUCCUGGUGUAGCGGUGAAAUGCGCAGAUAUCAGGAGGAACACCAGUGGCGAAGGCGGCUUCUGGC